GGAUGAGAUUUCACCAUGUUGCCCGAUCUGGUCUCAAACUCCUGAACUUAAGUGAUCUGCCCACCUUGACCUCCCAAAGUGCUGGGAUUACAGGCAUGAACUGCCACACCUGGCCAGGAUCAGUGCCACAAGUCACACCGAGUUGAUGCUGCAAGUAUGUUCUGCGAUUAAGCUUCUAAUAUCCAUCAAGCAAGAAGAAAAAAACAAAAGAGAAAGGAGAGGAAAUUUAUCCUGGAAAAUAAUAAUAAAACACUGAAUGACUUUGAAGUGUGAUACUUAAUAAAGGAAAUGUGUGAAAAUUGAGGCAAAGACAUUUUGGGUGGGUGAAUUUGCUCUGGA
rnacentral:lncRNA from 1 species